rnacentral:rRNA from 1 species
GACGAACGCUGGCGGCGUGCCUAAUACAUGCAAGUAGAACGCUGAAGAGAGGAGCUUGCUCUUCUUGGAUGAGUUGCGAACGGGUGAGUAACGCGUAGGUAACCUGCCUUGUAGCGGGGGAUAACUAUUGGAAACGAUAGCUAAUACCGCAUAACAAUGGAUGACACAUGUCAUUUAUUUGAAAGGGGCAAUUGCUCCACUACAAGAUGGACCUGCGUUGUAUUAGCUAGUAGGUGAGGUAAUGGCUCACCUAGGCGACGAUACAUAGCCGACCUGAGAGGGUGAUCGGCCACACUGGGACUGAGACACGGCCCAGACUCCUACGGGAGGCAGCAGUAGGGAAUCUUCGGCAAUAGGGGCAACCCUGACCGAGCAACGCCGCGUGAGUGAAGAAGGUUUUCGGAUCGUAAAGAUCUGUUGUAAGUCAAGAACGGGUGUGAGAGUGGAAAGUUCACACUGUGACGGUAGCUUACCAGAAAGGGACGGCUAACUACGUG